rnacentral:rRNA from 1 species
AUGGUGGCANNAAAUCGGAGGCCCCGACUGUUUACUAAAAACACAAUUCAGAGCAAUGAUGUAAAUCAUAGUAUUCUGGAUGAAAUUUGCCCAAUGCCAUUAACAUAAAAGAGGUAAUAGGAAACUGUUACUAAUUGAAAGUCUGGUUAAUAGCGGUCUUAACUAUGAGGAUCCUAAGGUAGCAAAAUCAGUUGGCCAUUAAAUGUGGUCUGGUAUCAAUAGUGUAACGAUGGUCUCACUGUCUCUACAACUUGCUCAGUGAAAUUGAAUUACCCGUGCAGAUGCGGGU